GACGAACGCUGGCGGCGUGCUUAACACAUGCAAGUCGAACGGAAAGGCCCUGCUUUUGUUGGGUGCUCGAGUGGCGAACGGGUGAGUAACACGUGAGUAACCUGCCCUUGACUUUGGGAUAACUUCUGGAAACUGGGGCUAAUACCGCAUAGGAGCUCCUGCUGCAUGGUGGGGGUUGGAAAGUUUCGGCGGUUGGGGAUGGACUCGCGGCUUAGCAGCUUGUUGGUGGGGUAGUGGCUUACCCAGGCUUUGACGGGUAGCCGGCCUGAGAGGGUGACCGGCCACAUUGGGACUGAGAUACGGCCCAGACUGCUACGGGGGGCAGCAGUGGGGAACAUUGCACAAUGGGCGGAGGCCGGAUGCAGCAACGCCGCGUGCGGGAUGACGGCCUUCGGGGUGUAAACCGCUUGCGCCUGUGACGAAGCGUGAGUGACGGUAAUGGGUAAAGAAGCACCGGCUAACUACGUG
rnacentral:rRNA from 1 species